GAUGAAGAACGCAGCGAAAUGCGAUACGUAAUGUGAAUUGCAGAUUUCAGUGAAUCAUCGAAUCUUUGAACGCACAUUGCGCCCGCUAGUAUUCUGGCGGGCAUGCCUGUUCGAGCGUCAUUUCAACCAUCAAGCCCCCGGCUUGCGUUGGAGCCCUGCGGCUGCCGCAGGCUCCCAAAUCCAGUGGCGGGCUCGUCGUCGUACCGAGUGCAGUAAACAUCCUCGCUCAGGGAACGUGACGGGUUCUUGCCGUGAAACCCCCCACAUAUCAAGGUUGACCUCGGAUCAGGUAGGAAUACCCGCUGAACUUAAUCAUAUCAAUAAGCGGAGGA
rnacentral:misc_RNA from 1 species